AGGGAAACCGAGUCUUAAUUGGGCGUUAAGUUGCAGGGUAUAGACCCGAAACCCGGUGAUCUAGCCAUGGGCAGGUUGAAGGUUGGGUAACACUAACUGGAGGACCGAACCGACUAAUGUUGAAAAAUUAGCGGAUGACCUGUGGCUGGGGGUGAAAGGCCAAUCAAACCGGGAGAUAGCUGGUUCUCCCCGAAAGCUAUUUAGGUAGCGCCUCGUGAAUUCAUCUCCGGGGGUAGAGCACUGUUUCGGCUAGGGGGCCAUCCCGGCUUACCAACCCGAUGCAAACUGCGAAUACCGGAGAAUGUUAUCACGGGAGACACACGGCGGGUGCUAACGUCCGUCGUGAAGAGGGAAACAACCCAGACCGCCAGCUAAGGUCCCAAAGUCAUGGUUAAGUGGGAAACGAUGUGGGAAGGCCCAGACAGCCAGGAUGUUGGCUUAGAAGCAGCCAUCAUUUAAAGAAAGCGUAAUAGCUCACUGGUCGAGUCGGCCUGCGCGGAAGAUGUAACGGGGCUAAACCAUGCACCGAAGCUGCGGCAGCGACACUGUGUGUUGUUGGGUAGGGGAGCGUUCUGUAAGCCUGUGAAGGUGGCCUGUGAGGGUUGCUGGAGGUAUCAGAAGUGCGAAUGCUGACAUAAGUAACGAUAAAGCGGGUGAAAAGCCCGCUCGCCGGAAGACCAAGGGUUCCUGUCCAACGUUAAUCGGGGCAGGGUGAGUCGACCCCUAAGGCGAGGCCGAAAGGCGUAGUCGAUGGGAAACGGGUUAAUAUUCCCGUACUUGGUGUUACUGCGAAGGGGGGACGGAGAAGGCUAUGUUGGCCGGGCGACGGUUGUCCCGGUUUAAGCGUGUAGGUGUGUGUUCCAGGUAAAUCCGGUUCACUUUAACACUGAGGCGUGAUGACGAGGCACUACGGUGCUGAAGCAACAAAUGCCCUGCUUCCAGGAAAAGCCUCUAAGCAUCAGGUAACAUCAAAUCGUACCCCAAACCGACACAGGUGGUCAGGUAGAGAAUACCAAGGCGCUUGAGAGAACUCGGGUGAAGGAACUAGGCAAAAUGGUGCCGUAACUUCGGGAGAAGGCACGCUGACA
rnacentral:rRNA from 1 species